CAUAGCGGUAUCCUGAGUAACGCGGGACACGAGGAAUCCUGCGCGAAUCUGCCGGGACCAUCCGGUAAGGCUAAAUACUCCCGUGAGACCGAUAGCGAACGAGUACUGUGAAGGAAAGGUGAAAAGAACCCCGAGCAGGGGAGUGAAAUAGUUCCUGAAACCAUACGCCUACAAGCGGUCGGAGCAUCGUAAGAUGUGACGGCGUGCCUUUUGCAUAAUGAUCCUACGAGUUACCGUCACUGGCGAGGUUGAGUGUCAUGAGACACGUAGCCGCAGUGAAAGCGAGCCUGAAGAGGGCGCACAGUCAGUGGGGGUAGACGCGAAACCAAGUGAUCUACACUUGGCCAGGAUGAAGUCCCGGUAACACGGGAUGGAGGUCCGCACCAAUAAGCGUUGAAAAGCUUCUGGAUGAGCCGAGUGUAGGAGUGAAAGGCCAAUCAAACUUGGAGAUAGCUCGUACUCCCCGAAAGGCAUUUAGGUGCCGCGUCGGAUGGUCACCGUGAGAGGUAGAGCGACCGAUAGGACAAGAGGGCUUCACCGCCUAUCGAGUCCUGACGAACUCCGAAUGCUCACGGUCUGCAGUCCGGCAGUAAGGGGGCGGGUGCUAAGGUCCGUCCCCGAGAGGAGAAGAAUCCAGACCGCCGUCUAAGGUCCCGGAGUUCUGCCUGAGUUAGUCUAACGAAGUCUGGUCCCUAUGACAGCUAGGAUGUUGGCUUGGAAGCAGCCAUUCAUUCAAAGAGUGCGUAACAGCUCACUAGUCGAGGGUCCGGGCAUGGAUAAUAAUCGGGUAUAAGGCAGACACCGAAGGCGCGGGAUAGCAAUUAUAAAAGUAUCGGUAGGGGAGCAUACUCACAGCGUCGAAUGGUGUACGUAAGUUAUCCUGGAGCGGUGAGUAAAGCAAAUGUAGGAAUAAGUAACGAUAAGGAGGGUUAGAUUCCCUCCCGCUGUAAGACCAAGGUUUCCCGGGCAAUGCCAAUCAGCCCGGGGUCAGUCGGGUCCUAAGUCUAAGCCGAACGGCGAUGGCGAUGGCAGAGACGGUUAAUAUUCCGUCACUGCCGCAUGGGGCGA
rnacentral:rRNA from 1 species